rnacentral:misc_RNA from 1 species
GAUGAAGAACGCAGCGAAAUGCGAUACGUAAUGUGAAUUGCAAAUUCAGUGAAUCAUCGAAUCUUUGAACGCACAUUGCGCCCCUUGGUAUUCCGAGGGGCAUGCCUGUUCGAGCGUCAUUAUAACCCCUCAAGCUCAGCUUGGUGUUGGGGCCUGCUGCACUGGCAGCCCUUAAAAUCAGUGGCGGCGCCAUCUGGCUCUAAGCGUAGUAAUUCUUCUCGCUAUGGAGUCCUGGUGGAUGCUUGCCAUCAACCCCCAAUUUUUCUAUGGUUGACCUCGGAUCAGGUAGGGAUACCCGCUGAACUUAAGCAUAUCAAUAAGCGGAGGA